GGGGCUCGAACUCGUGAACCAUGAGAUCAUGACCUGAGCUGAAGUCAGACACUUAACCGACUGAGCCACCCAGGCGCCCCCCUUAUGAUUUUCUUAACAAUAUUUUCUUUUCUCUAACUUACUUUAUUGUAAGAAUAUGGCAUAUGAUCUUAGGGUCGUGGGAUUGAGCCCCAUGUUGGAGCCCAGCAUGGAGCCUGCUUAAGAUUCUCUCUCUUUUUGCCCUUCUCCUCGGCUUGUGUGUGCAAGCUCUCUCCCUCUAAAUUAAAAAAUAAAAAAUAAAUUAAAAACAUUUAAGAAUACAGCAUAUGAUACAUAUAACAUACAAAAUAUGUGUUAACUAUUUAUGUUAUUGGUAAGGCUUCUGGCCAACAGGCUAUUAGUGGGUAAGUUUUUUGGGAGUAAAGUUAUAUGUGGAAUUGUGAGUGUGUGAGGGGUCAGUGACUCUAGCGCUGGUAUGGUUCAAGCACUGUACUGAUUAAAAAAAAAACAAUUUUUUAUUGUGGUAAAGAUACAUAACAUAAUACUUAUCAUUUUAACCAUUUGUAAGUGUACAAUUCGGUGGCACUAAAUAUAUUCACCAUGUUUUCAAGGUCCAUCUAUGUUGCAACACAUAUAAAAAUUUCAUUUCUUUUUAUGGUUGAAUAUUCCAUUGUGUGUAUAUAGCACAUUUUGUUCAUUCAUUGAACUGUUGAUGGACACUUGGCUAUUGUGCAUAAUGCUUCUAUGAACACUGGUGUACAGAUAACUGUUCAAGUCCCUGGUCUCAACUCUCUGGAUAUAUACCUAAGAAUGGAAUUGUUGUAGCAUAUGGUGGUUCUGCUUACUUUUUUGAGAAAUAAAACUGUUUAUCAAAC